GAUGAACGCUGGCGGCGUGCCUAAUACAUGCAAGUCGAGCGAACGGACGAGAAGCUUGCUUCUCUGAUGUUAGCGGCGGACGGGUGAGUAACACGUGGAUAACCUACCUAUAAGACUGGGAUAACUUCGGGAAACCGGAGCUAAUACCGGAUAAUAUUUUGAACCGCAUGGUUCAAAAGUGAAAGACGGUCUUGCUGUCACUUAUAGAUGGAUCCGCGCUGCAUUAGCUAGUUGGUAAGGUAACGGCUUACCAAGGCAACGAUGCAUAGCCGACCUGAGAGGGUGAUCGGCCACACUGGAACUGAGACACGGUCCAGACUCCUACGGGAGGCAGCAGUAGGGAAUCUUCCGCGAUGGGCGAAAGCCUGACGGAGCAACGCCGCGUGAGUGAUGAAGGUCUUCGGAUCGUAAAACUCUGUUAUUAGGGAAGAACAUAUGUGUAAGUAACUGUGCACAUCUUGACGGUACCUAAUCAGAAAGCCACGGCUAACUACGUG
rnacentral:rRNA from 1 species